ensembl:snRNA U6 U6 spliceosomal RNA
GUGCUCACUUGAGCAGCACAUACACUGAAAUUGGAAUGAUACAGGGAUUAGCAUGGCCCCUGCACAAGGAUAAUAUGCAAAUUCAUAAAGUGUUCCAUUUUUUA